GUAGUCAUAUGCUUGUCUCAAAGAUUAAGCCAUGCAUGUCUAAGUAUAAGCAAAUUUAUACCGUGAAACUGCGAAUGGCUCAUUAAAUCAGUUAUCGUUUAUUUGAUAGUACCUUACUACUUGGAUAACCGUGGUAAUUCUAGAGCUAAUACAUGCUAAAAGCCCCGACUUCGGAAGGGGUGUAUUUAUUAGAUUAAAAACCAAUGCCCUUCGGGGCUCUUUGGUGAUUCAUAAUAACUUAACGAAUCGCAUGGCCUUGUGCCGGCGAUGGUUCAUUCAAAUUUCUGCCCUAUCAACUUUCGAUGGUAGUAUAUGGGACUACCAUGGUUCAACGGGUAACGGGGAAU
rnacentral:rRNA from 1 species